rnacentral:rRNA from 1 species
AUUGAACGCUGGCGGCAUGCCUUACACAUGCAAGUCGAACGGUAACGCGGGGCAACCUGGCGACGAGUGGCGAACGGGUGAGUAAUGCAUCGGAACGUGCCCAGUUGUGGGGGAUAACUGCUCGAAAGAGCAGCUAAUACCGCAUACGACCUGAGGGUGAAAGCGGGGGAUCGCAAGACCUCGCGCAAUUGGAGCGGCCGAUGUCGGAUUAGCUAGUUGGUGGGGUAAAGGCUCACCAAGGCAACGAUCCGUAGCUGGUCUGAGAGGACGACCAGCCACACUGGGACUGAGACACGGCCCAGACUCCUACGGGAGGCAGCAGUGGGGAAUUUUGGACAAUGGGCGCAAGCCUGAUCCAGCCAUGCCGCGUGCGGGAAGAAGGCCUUCGGGUUGUAAACCGCUUUUGUCAGGGAAGAAAUCUUCUGGGCUAAUACCCUGGGAGGAUGACGGUACCUGAAGAAUAAGCACCGGCUAACUACGUGCCAGCCGCCGCAGUAACAC